rnacentral:rRNA from 1 species
CCUACGGGUGGCUGCAGUGAGGAAUAUUGGUCAAUGGGCGCGAGCCUGAACCAGCCAAGUAGCGUGAAGGAUGACUGCCCUACGGGUUGUAAACUUCUUUUAUAAAGGAAUAAAGUGAGGCACGUGUGCCUUUUUGUAUGUACUUUAUGAAUAAGGAUCGGCUAACUCCGUGCCAGCAGCCGCGGUAAUACGGAGGAUCCGAGCGUUAUCCGGAUUUAUUGGGUUUAAAGGGAGCGUAGAUGGGUUGUUAAGUCAGUGGUGAAAGUUUGCGGCUCAACCGUAAAAUUGCAUUUAAUACUGGAGUUCUGGAGACAGGUGGGGGUGGGGGAAUUUGGGGUGUAGCGGUGAAAUGCUUAGAUAUCACGAAGAACUCCGAUUGCGAAGGCAGCUUACUAAACUGCCACUGACAUUGAUGCUCGAAAGUGUGGGUAUCAAACAGGAUUAGAUACCCCAGUAGUC